GGAAAAUCUGCUGUGGCAGCUGUAUGGCAGUGUGCUGAGAAAAUGGAAGGCCUGGCUUGGGAAAAAGACUUCUUAUCUCUUCCUCUUUGCAGGACAGACUCCAAGGUAUGCAAGACGGAAAACCUUGAAAUAAAGUCUUCCUUUU
rnacentral:lncRNA from 1 species